AAGUCGGUCGGUAUGGGUAUGAAAAACCUUACAUCUUGAUUUAUUUAAAACUUGUUUAAGGUUAUUAAGCAGAUAGAGGCUAAUUUUGUUGUCUUUCUGCAGGUGCAUGAAGUGCUGCACCUAAUGGGAUGCUUGGUUCCUUUGUGCUAUUUGUGCUUCGAGUCAAUUUGGAGUUUGUAAGAAAAGCGUGAGCUUUGAAAAAGAAAAAAGGGCUCCUGUUUGCUAAUAGCACUUCUAAAUUCUAGCUUGGCAUUCUAUUGCAACAAUUUAAUUUGCAAGAUUGCAGCUUAGCUGUUGGAUCUUUGAACAAAAUCUGGGUCAUUGACAUGGUGAUACAAACAGUCCAUGGUGCACUCUUCAUCAUUCUACAUGCUACUUUUGAAAUCCCUCUAUCUAUUUUCUUCAUUCUGUGUGAAUUGAGUUAAUACUGGUGUGAGAUCACUAUAAGGACUAGACUUUUGGUGGUUCGAUUGGGGAUCGAUGUUACGAUAGAACAUCACAGAAUAGUUGUAUUUUGUUCUUGAGAUGAUUUGGUUGUAUAUUGGUUUGAACUCUUGUGUAUUUCUUUGUUUCUUUAAGUAUUUACUGCAAAUG
rnacentral:lncRNA from 1 species